GGGAUUCCAGGUCAUGAGAUUGAUUCGUGAGAUCUUAAGAGAGUCAAGUGAAUUAUAUUUCUGCACUGAACACUGGUUUAGAAAACAGAACAGAGCAGAGCAGUGUGAAGUGAACUGAAAACAACAGUUGACCUGCUGUUGGAGCCUCGGUUCCUGCGUCUGUGAUCAUCUGAGCAGCACCUGAGGAGGGUGAAGAUGAUUGGAUCACAUGUCUGUAAUGGAGAGCACAAAAAGCCUGAGCACAUGUUGGUGUGAAGUUUGAGAGGCUGACUGUGUGCAGAAUUCCCCCUCCCCAAAAGCAUGAUGGCCGUUCCAGUCUUCAACCAAACUUUUAAAACUGCUGGUGGCGUGGAGCCUUGUUGGUGGGAUCUACAGUCCUGGGGUCAUUGCUGUGUCCUGUGCACAGCCAUCAUAGACUAGACACUAUUUUUGUCAUGUGAUAUAAAAUCAAAUGAUUAUAAAGGUGUUCCCACUGAA